rnacentral:rRNA from 1 species
AACGCGAAGAACCUUACCUGGGCUCGAAGUGCUCGGGACCAGCGGUGGAAACAUCGCCUUCCCGCAAGGGACUCGAGUAGAGGUGCUGCAUGGCUGUCGUCAGCUCGUGCCGUGAGGUGUUGGGUUAAGUCCCGCAACGAGCGCAACCCUUACUCUUAGUUGCCACCCGCAAGGGGGAACUCUACGAGGACUGCUCCGGAUAACGGAGAGGAAGGUGGGGAUGAGGUCAAGUCAGCAUGGCCUUUAUGUCCAGGGCAACACACGUGUUACAAUGCGCGCUACAAUGCGUCGCGAACCCGCGAGGGGGAGCUAAUCGCAAAAAAGCGCGCUCAGUUCGGAUUGCAGUCUGCAACUCGACUGCAUGAAGCUGGAAUCGCUAGUAAUGGCGCAUCAGCACGGCGCCGUGAAUACGUUCCCGGGCCUUGUACACACCGGUAC